AGCGCUCUGUAAAAUGGACCAAUCAGCAAGAUGUGGGUGGGGCCAAAUAAGGGAAUAAAAGCUGGCAACCCCGGGCCAGCUGUGGCAACCCACUUGGGUCGACUUCCGUGCUGUGGAAGUUUUGUUCUUUUGCUCUUCACAAUAAAUCUUGCUGCUGCUCACUUUUUGGGUCUGCACUACCUUUAUGAGCUGUAAUACUGCGAAGACCUGCAGCUUCACUCCUGAAGUCAGCGAGACCACGAACCCACCCAGAGGAACAAACAACUCCAGAUGUGCCACCUUUAAGAGCUGUAACACUCACUGCGAAGGUCUGGGGCUUCAUUCCUGAAGUCAGAGAGACCGUGAACCCACCAGAAGGAAGAAACUCCGGACACAUUUGAAUAUCUGAAGGAACAAACUCCGGACACACCAUCUUUAAGAACUGUAACACUCACCGCGAGGGUCUGCAGCUUCAUUUUUAAGUCAGCGAGACCAAGAACCCACAGGAAGGAACCAAUUAUGGACACAGUAGUAGUACAGCAGAAAGAAAAAGAGAAAAUAUCUGGGGAAACCCCAGAAAUUAAUUUCUAAAUGUUAUCAAGCUACAUAAGCGUUAUUCAGAUAUUAGGGUUUUUUUUUUUAACACCUUGCUGAAACUGUGCUUGGCCUGAUUAGUACUUUUCUCUUAGCAUUAUAUUACAUACCUUCAGUCUUUGUUUUAUGUUGCUAUAACAGAAUGCCUGAGACUGGGUAAUUUAUAAAGAAAGAGGUUCAUUUGGCUCUAGAUUCUGGAGGCUGGGAAGUGCAAGAUCAGACAGCUGCAUCUGGUCCACUUCUGGUGGUGAGGGUCUUGUAUAGCAUCACAACGUGGCAGAGAGGCAAAACAGGAAGUGUACAUAUAAAAAGGACAAAACAUGAGGCAUGACCUCGCUUUAUAAAAAACCUGCUCUUUGGAGAACUAACCUGGUCUUGUGAGAAAGACAUUAAUUCUUCUUACUGGCCUAAUCACCUCUUGAAGGCCUCACCUCCCAAUGUGAUUACAUUGGCAAUUAAAUUUUAACUUAAGUUUUGGAGGGGACAAACCACAUUCGAACCAUAACACUUUCCUUCUUAAAACAUCAUUUUCUUUGCUAUGACUCAGCCAUCUUCUAUUUACCUCCUAUAUCCCUGGGUGCUACUUCUGUUUAUUUCAUGGAAUCUUCUACCAUCUGUGUCAUAGUGUUCCUUGGGGUUCCACAUUCUGCUCUGGGUUCUCUUCUCACCCUACUCAUUUCCCUGGGAAAUUGUACCUACACCUGUUAUUGAUAUUUUGAUGACUUCCAUAUCUGUUCUUCAGCUCUGUGGUACAUUGCAAAGCCUGGCCAGAAAUAUUUGUUGCUCCUCCUGUCAAGCGGUGGAGUUGAUUUCUCCAACCAUUGAGUCUGUCUGCCUUUGGGACUUGCUUUGGAGAACAAAAUGCAGAAGUGAUGCUGUGCCAGUCCUGAGCUUGGACCUCAAGAUAUUUUGCACACAUAUGCUUUUGAUCUUGGAACCCCUUAUCCUAGCCCAGUGAACUGGGCUGAACUGUGAUCAAAGACGCCUCCUUCACCGUGUCUACAAGGCCCUCUGAAAACACCUGGUCCUCUGGUGAUCCAUCAGUUAACUGGAUACUUUCAAAAUAUAAUUUUAACUAUGUGAAUCACCUGAAGAAAUUCCUAUAAUGGUUCAAAUUCUGUCAUAAUGUCCAUGAGCUUCUGCUGGACUCACAGCCUUGACUUUAAUCCUCAUAUAAUUGGGAAACAUUAAAUAUUCUUGAAUGUUAACAUGUCAGUACCAGGGCUCUGCUUCAAGAGAACUGGUCUGGGAUUUGUACUGAGCAUGCCUUAUGGGGAAACUUUGGAUGUAAGAAGAGAAAUUAAGAAGGCCUUUCAUACAUCCAGUGAGAAAAGAUGGAUCUCAAACAAGACUGGUGGUAAUGAGAACUUUCAGUGUUUUUUGAAGGAAAGUUUUAGGAGGAUGAGAUGGAUACCAAGAAGAACUUCGGGAGUAUAUUAUUCAGGCUGUGUUCUGAGCAGGUGUCAAGGGAGGGAAAGGGCCCGUGAUCUCAAGCCUGGCUCACAGAUAUGAGUGAAAGCAUUGUUUGAAUAAUAAAGUAUGGAGGAGAAGGAGGUUUAUGGAGCAAAGAAAUGGUCACAAGACAACUAGGAGACACGGUGCUGGAGAGGUGGCUUGGGGUCAGCCCUUCUGUGCGUGCGUGGCAGCUAGUUGCUCAAGCGCAUUGCUCAGCUUUUUCCUUCUGCAUCUCUGUAUAUGCCAUUUCUUCUACCCAGCUUCCUGAUCUAUGUAUUAAAACAAUAUUUCCAAGAUCUUU